rnacentral:rRNA from 1 species
GAGUUUGAUCCUGGCUCAGAGCGAACGCUGGCGGCGCGCUUAACACAUGCAAGUUGAACGGUUUAAUGUUUUUGAUGAGCUGAUUAAGUAGCAAUACUUAAGAUUCCUUUGAAGAAAUAUUAAAUAGUGCCAAACGGGUGAGUAACACGCAGAUAAUCUACCUUUAAGAGGAGGACAACCUGGUGAAAACGAGGCUAAUACUCCGUAUUAUUAUUAUUUCCGUGAAUUAAUAAUGAAAGGUUUAUUUUCGGAUAAAUGCUUAAAGAUGAGUCUACGUCCCUAUCAGCUAGUUGGUAAGGUAAUGGCUUACCAAGGCAACGACGGGUAGNCGGCCUGAAAGGGUGAUNCGGCCACAUUGGAACUGCGACACGGUCCAAACUCCUACGGGAGGCAGCAGUGGGGAAUUUUCCGCAAUGGGCGAAAGCCUGACGGAGCGACGCCGCGUGGAGGAUGAAGUCUUUCGAGUUGUAAACUCCUGUCAGGUGGGAUGAAUUUCUUGCUUGUCAGAAAUGACAGUACCACCAGAGGAAGUCUCGGCUAACUACCUGCCAGCAGCCGCGGUAAUACGUAGGAGACAGCGUUGCUCGGAAUUACUAGGCAUAAAGAGCGUGUAGGUUGUUGUAUAAGUCAAAUGUGAAAGCUCAUAACUCAAUUGUGAGACUGCACUUGAAACUAUAUGACUUGAGUGGAGGAGAGGGAAGUGGAAUUUCCAAAGUAGCGGUGAAAUGCUUAGAUAUUGGAAAGAACACCAGCGGCGAAGGCGACUUCCUGGCCUCAAACUGACACUGAGACGCGAAAGCUAGGGGAGCAAACAGGAUUAGAUACCCUGGUAGUCCUAGCUGUAAACGAUGGGUACUAGGUAUAGUGGGUGUUAAAUCCCUCUGUGCCGAAGCUAAUGCAUUAAGUACCCCGCCUGGGGAGUACGACCGCAAGGUUGAAACUCAAAGGAAUUGACGGGGGCCCGCACAAGCGGUGGAGCAUGUGGUUUAAUUCGACGCAACGCGAAGAACCCUUACCUGGGUUUGACAUGUACUUGAAUACUAUAGAAACAUAGUCGGCCGCAAGGACAAGUACACAGGUGCUGCAUGGCUGUCGUCAGCUCGUGUCGUGAGAUGUUGGGUUAAGUCCCGCAACGAGCGCAACCCUUAUCCUUAGUUACCAUCCUUGAUUUAUCAAGAGGGACUCUAAGGAAACUGCUCCGGAUAACGGGAGAGGAAGGUGGGGAUGACGUCAAGUCCUCAUGGGCCCUUAUAUCCAGGGCGACACACGUGCUACAAUGGUCGGGUACAAAGGGNCUGCAAUACGGUAACGUGGAGCUAAUCCCAAAAAGCCCGGCCCCAGUUCAGAUUGAGGGNCUGUAACUCGCCCUCAUGAAGGAGGAAUCGCUAGUAAUCGCGCAUCAGCCACGGCGCGNUGAAUACGUUCCCGGGCCUUGUACACACCGCCCGUCACACCACCAAAGUUGGCUGUAACAGAAGUCGUUAUGCUAACCCUUUUUAAGGGAGGCAGACGCCCAAGUUAUGGUUAGUAAUUGGGGUGAAGUCGUAACAAGGUA